UGAGGAAUAUUGCGCAAUGGGGGCAACCCUGACGCAGCAACGCCGCGUGAGUGAGGAAGGUUUUCGGAUUGUAAAGCUCUGUCGAGCGGAAAGAAAUGCAUUAUGGCUAAUAUCCAUAAUGCUUGACGGUACCGCUAAAGGCAGCACCGGCUAACUCCGUGCCAGCAGCCGCGGUAAUACGGGGGGUGCAAGCGUUGUUCGGAAUCAUUGGGCGUAAAGCGCGUGUAGGCGGCUUGACAAGUCAGAUGUGAAAGCGCGGGGCUUAACCCAGGAAGUGCAUUUGAAACUGCCUCGCUAGAGUAAGGGAGAGGAAAGUGGAAUUCCUGGUGUAGAGGUGAAAUUCGUAGAUAUCAGGAGGAACACCGGUGGCGAAGGCGACCUUCUGGCCCUAUACUGACGCUGAGACGCGAAAGCGUGGGUAGCAAACA
rnacentral:rRNA from 1 species